rnacentral:lncRNA from 1 species
CCUUGCUGUAUAACAUUUUAUUGUACAAAUACAAUUGACCCUUGAACAAUGCACGAGGUUAGGGAUACCAACACCCCACACAGUCAAAUAUCUGCAUAUGCUUUUGACUUCCCCAAAACUUAACUACUUACAGCCUACUGUUCACCAGAAGUAUUAACUGAUCAUUAACAGUUGAUUAACACAUAUUUUGCAUGUUAUUUUUAUCACAUACUGUACACUUACAAUCAAGUAAGCUUAGGGAAAAGAAAAUGAUAUUAAGAAAAUCAUAAGAAAGAGAAAAUGUAUUUACUGUGGAAGUGGAUCAAGGAAGAUGGUCUUACCAUCUCAGGGGUAGCAGAGGUAGAAGAAAAUCUGCAUAUAAGUGGACCCAGAAAAUGUGCAUAUUAAGUGGACCCACAUAGUUUAAACUCGUGUUGUUCAAGGCUCAACUGCUACCAAAACUUAUUUAUCCAUUCCAUUACUGAUGGAUAUGUGGAUGGUUUCCAAUUUGAGGCUACUACAAACAUUCCUGCUAUGAAUAUUCAUGUGCAUGUCUCCUGUGCACAGGAUCAUGCACUAUAUACCUAGAAGUGGAACUGUGAGAUCAUAUAAUAGGCAUAGCUUUAAAACUGUAGAUAUUGCCACCUGGUUAUACAUUGCAAAAUGGUUUUUCCAAUUUCCUUUUCCACUAGCACAAAAUGAGCAUUCCUGUGGCUCCAUGACCUUAUCUACACCAAGUAUAGUGUUUAGUGCUCUCUCAUUGCGUUUAGUGUUAUCUCAUUGUAUUUCUUAACUAUUGCUUCAAAACAAAUUAUCCCAGAACUUAGUGCUUAAAAUACCAGACACAUAAUCUCACAUAGUUUCUUUGGGUCAGGAAUCUAGGAAUGGCUUAGCUGGGUGGUUUGGGCUUAGGCUGUCUCAUGAGCUUGAAAUCAAGAUGUUGGGCAGAACUGCAGCAAAUCCUCAUGUCGUCUUCUGAAGGCUCAACUGGGCUAGAGGACCUAUUUCCAAACUCACUGACGUGGCCGCUGGCUGGAGGCCUCAGUUACAUGCCCCAUAAUCCUCUGUGGAGAGCUGUUUGUCACAUGACAGCUGGCUUCCCCCAGAGCAACUGACCAGCUGCAUGACCUUAUGAAGCACCUUCGUUGUCUGGGGUAAAUGCCUGAGGUUCGUCGUCUUACGCCAAGGAAAUCGAGGACGAGGACACGCAAGAAGUGAGUUUAAGAGAAGAGGUUUAACAGAGAGAAAGGGAAAAGCUCUCUCUUCUGCGGAGAGAGGGGACACCUAAGUGGGUCUUUGGGUUUUGCGGUGAAAUGCAUGUGC